rnacentral:rRNA from 1 species
UACAGAGGCCUCGAGCGUUAGGCGGAAUUACUGGGCUUAAAGGGUGCGUAGGCGGCGCGGAAAGUUGGGUGUGAAAUCCCUCGGCUCAACCGAGGAACUGCGCCCAAAACUACCGUGCUCGAGGGAGAUAGAGGUGAGCGGAACUUAGGGUGGAGCGGUGAAAUGCGUUGAUAUCCUAAGGAACACCCGUGGCGAAAGCGGCUCACUGGGUCUCUUCUGACGCUGAGGCACGAAAGCUAGGGUAGCGAACGGG